rnacentral:lncRNA from 1 species
AGGGGUCUAGGUUCAGAAAUAAGAGAUCCAUCUGUUGGCUGAGUCAUGUUCUCCACUUUUCUCUCUUUCCCCUACUUCCCUUUCUCAGCUCGGUGUGCCUCUACAGGGAAACCUUUCCUACAGGUAUCCUGCUGCUUGCUAUGGAGGCUGGAGAUCUAAAAGGGACUCCAAGUUUCAGCUUUUGCUUCACUGGCAGUGACAGUUGGGCAACACAAAUUGAACUCAACAGUGAAGAAAAACAAAGAAGACUCAAAUUUGGGGUGGGAAGGGACAAGACCGAGGAGAAGCUGAUUAGGGAGGAGUUGGGGGAGAGAGUGUAAAAAUGUUCAAAAUACAUUAUAUGAAAUUCUCAAACAAUUAGUAAAAUGUUGUUCUAAAACAUCCAAAGGCUAGCUAUCCUUUGUUGUUGAAAAAGCACAACUUCUAUUAAUGUAAUAUUUUCUUAUCUACCAAGAAAGGACCAUUACAAUUCAUAGGAGCAGAUAUUCAACAAACUAUCAAGUAUCAGACAUUGUUGCUGUUAAACUGACAUCAUUCCUGUGUGGUCAUACUAGGCAUUUCCAUGACAUGGCUACCAGGUAGGCAAAGGAUACACAUUCACUCUUUGCUUUUGGGUCAACUCUAGACUUGCUUAGAGAUAUUAGUAAAUAAGAUACCCAGACAGCCACUGGGUGUACAGGAAUAUGUGCACAGGAAUCUUGUUCAUACAGCUACUGGAUAAAGGGAAGAGAAACACCGAAGUAGGCCUAUGUACAGUCUACACUUGCAGCCAGGAGUAACCAAAGCCAGUUCAAAUCAACAGGACAUUGAAUGACCUCUUUAUAUUGAGAGAAAAAGACUAUAGUCUUAAACUGUGAGAACGGAGGUGUUUUUCCAGGCAGCAUUGUCAGGGCAACAGUUGAAAACAGCAUUUUACACACGUUCCUUCUUUUCAUCUGCAGCAAUUAAUCAUUCUCCCCAUUUCACAAGUGAGAAAAAUAAAGUUUACAGCAUCUAAGAACUUGCAAAGUAUCAUCUAACUGGAUAAGUGUCAGGUCUGUAGUAGGCAGCGUUGAUUUUAGAACUCAUUAUUACCCUGUUGGAGAGCCUGGUAAUUAGCCAGCUAAUCUCCAUGCUUCACAAGUACCACUCAAUAGAGCAGGGGAUAUGGAUACACAAUGUCUUUUCUAUCAUCCAAUACUAUAUAGACGAAGACAUGAGACAUGAACAAAUACUUCCUUCCAUUAUCCCUAUGCAACUACUACCUGAAUUCUAAUUCUUGUUCUUGAGCUCCAGGUAAGGACAUCACUUAAUUUUCUUUGUCUUGCUUUUCUCACAUACUCAGAAAAAAAUUACACAAAGGACAUUCAUAUAUACAGUUCUGUUGUCUCCUUUUCUUUAGACAAGGUUUGCUGACCUUGAACUUGUAAUCAGCCCUUCAGUGCUAGGACUAUAGACAAGUGCCCCCAAUCCCAGCUUUUACACACACACUUCUCCAAGUGAUUUCCCAAAAACAUUAGCCCACAUACUACAGUAAUAGUUCUAGAAGUUCAC